rnacentral:lncRNA from 1 species
UGUGGAAAUAUUCAUUCUGUAAGCGUGUGUAAAAAAUGGUCAAUAAACAAUUCACCACUUGGGUACCAGUAUAAGAUUUAGAAUAUAAGAAAAAAUGUGUUUAUCAGAAACACACAUGCAUGAAUCAUGAUCAGUGACCACACUGCAGAAAAGAUUGGGAUCAGAGAGAGACAUCAUCAAACAGAUCACAAUGACAUAUGUUUCAAUAUGAAAUUGUUGGAAUGAAGUUCCCGAACAUGACUCCAGUGCUUCUGAAGCUGCCUAAAGCCAACAGAACUCCAAAAAUGUGUUUUUGUUGUUGUUGUAUAAACUGUCAAUAAAUUAUUAUUUAAUAAAUUUUGAACUUGAA